rnacentral:tRNA from 1 species
AGGAACUUAGGUUAUUA